UAAAAUAUACCUACUCUUUAUUGCACACCUCAAUAAAAGAAAACAGAAAUACAAGCAGAGGUAAACAACAGGCGGUCUUAUCGCUAAAAAGCGAUCUCUUCCAGACAACCUUUGGGUAGCGGAA